rnacentral:rRNA from 1 species
CAUGAAGCCGGAGUCGCUAGUAAUCGCGGAUCAGCAAAGCCGCGGUGAAUACGUUCUCGGGGAUUGUACACACCGCCCGUCACGUCACGGAAGUCGGCAACACCCAAAGUCAGUGGCCUAACCCUUUUGGGAGGGAGCUGCCUAAGGUGGGGUCGGUAACUGGGACUAAGUCGUAACAAGGUAGCCGUACGGGAACGUGCGGCUGGAUCACCUCCUUUCUAAGGAG